UUGCUUGUGGCAAUAGAAAUAUGAGUUGUGUCACCUUGGGACCACAGGAACCAAGUUCAGCACUGCAUUAACUGGAGCCUGACCAAUUAUUGACAACUUCCUGAAUAGCGGGAAGAGGGGCGGGUAAACAAAAUCAUGUUAUGUGACGUUGUGAAACAUUACCGCCUUGAACUGGCAAAACACACAACUGGCAUCUUUAUGGUAUUUGACCUAUUUUAACCUUUGAUAACUUCUUGAGAAGAUGCUUCCAGCACCUGCAGUCUUUCAUUUCCCUUGGGAAGUCAUCUCUGGUGCAGUCAAGGAGGGAGAUUCAGUGAGAACACUUGGAAGGAGGUGAUGGCCCAUGCCCGUGUGCUGAACUGUGUGGAUGGGGUCAACCUAGUCCUGCUACAGAGAGGUGUCAAUGAACAGAGGAGCUACUUCAGAGAGAGGGGGUAGAGCAAGGGAGAUGCUGCUACUGCUGCUCGGCCACCUGCUCCUCUCUGACCUGGACCCCAAUAAGAAUUCAUCUGAUACAGUGCUACUAGUGGAAAGUUAUGAACCAGGUGGAAUUUAAUGGCAUGUUGUAAUGUUUAUAUGACCUCAGAUGGAUCGUGUCAAAAGGUCAGAUUUUUUAUGGUCGGGACAUUUUUCCAAAUAGCCGAUUUAUAUGGGGAUGUGAAGAAUUAUGAGACUCUGCCUUUCGCUAAUUUAGAAUGGCGAAGGGUGGAAUUGGGAUAUAAAAAGACUGGAGGAAAUCCUGAUUCGAUACACAAAAGCUGCUUGUUCUGGUGCACUGUAAAGUCCUGCCAUUAUUUGUCAUACGAUAUCAAUUCUGGAAGUCACCCUCUUCCUGCUGACAGAGUUAGGCAGGUUCACUGAAUGUUGGGUCAGGUGUAUGAAGUAGAUCAAGAAAAUGCAUACUUAUAUUCUUAUUGUAGCUAAUCUAAGAUAAGAGAGAAUGUUUGAUGUAGCCAUUUAUGCAAUGGUUAUAUUUGUGAAUGAAAACUGAUAUGUAGCUUGGAAAUGUAUAUUUGUGAGAAACAAAUAAAAUCUUCUUGAUUUGAUAUUAGAUGUA